rnacentral:rRNA from 1 species
AGCAGCCGCGGUAAUUCCAGCUCCAAUAGCGUGUAUUAAAGUUGCUGCAGUUAAAAAGCUCGUAGUUGAAUUUCGGGACCAAUAUGUCGGUCGUGCCUCGGUACGUACUGGCAUCGUUGGUUUCUCCCUUCUGACGAACCAUGAUGUCAUUUAUUUGGUGUCGUGGGGAAUCAGGACUGUUACUUUGAAAAAAUUAGAGUGUUUAAAGCAGGUUCACGCUUGAAUACAUUAGCAUGGAAUAAUGAAAUAGGACGUUUGAUUCUAUUUUGUUGGUUUCUAGGAUCGACGUAAUGAUUAAUAGGGAUAGUUGGGGGCAUUAGUAUUCAAUUGUCAGAGGUGAAAUUCUUGGAUUUAUUGAAGACUAACUACUGCGAAGGCAUUUGCCAAGGAUGUUUUCAUUAAUCAAGAACGAAAGUUAGAGGUUCGAAGGCGAUCAGAUACCGCCCUAGUUCUAACCAUAAACGAUGCCGACCGGCGAUCCCGCUGUCGUUACUUGAAUGACUCAGC